AGUGUUGGUUUACCUCACUUUUGGUAUACAGUUCAGCUUCGUCUCUUGAAGAUGCGUGAAACGAAGGCUGGUAAGAAGUAUUAUUCCUCAUGGCGAGUGAGCACUCCCUUCAGCUGGGAUCAAGCAAACUGUUGCUGCUGGUCUUGGCAGAAGCUUCCAGCUAGUUAGUAUACACAACGAUACGAGACUUCAUAAAGUGCGUUAUCGCCAGAGGCAAGAUCCAGUUCGUGUAGACAAGCGGUAAGGAGCGAGGCAAGACGUGCUGGAGGUGGUCAUCAGAGUACACUGUCCUUCAACAACUGGUCUGACACCUUAAGGCUCGGGCGACCCCAGCCAGACCUCGGGGAAGGUGACGAGGACUCUCGGGGGUACUGAAGAAUAUGUAACAACGGCAGGAAGUGGCGCCACAUUACACCACGUGAAGUAUGUCAUCUGUGACACAAGCCUUUGAUAUUGUUACUAGAAAAGUCUUGGUUUACUGAAUGGUAAAGUUGUAAAAUAUUAAAGCUUAAACUAG